rnacentral:rRNA from 1 species
UACGAAGGGUGCAAACGUCGCUCGGAAUUAUUGGGCGUAAAGCGCACGUAGGCGGCUUAGCAAGUCGGAAGUGAAAUCCCUCGGCUCAACCAAGGAAGUGCUUUCGAAACUGCUGAGCUUGAGUACUUAAGAGGAUCGCGGAAUUCCCGGUGUAGAGGUGAAAUUCGUAGAUAUCGGGAGGAACACCAGUGGCGAAGGCGGCGAUCUGGGAAGAUACUGACGCUGAGGUGCGAAAGCGUGGGGAGCAAACAGG